UUUAGGACUUGGAGUAACACAAGGAGUUGUUUAAGAGCAAAACUGCUGACAGCGGUUUUGAGGAUGGAAUUGGAUUGAGAUGUUUACUGUUUUACGGAAGCUCUUGAACAAGAUUAGUUUAAAGACAGUGGCACCUGAUGGAUAGAUUAGUUUUGACUUCACACUAUAAUGGUAGUUGAUGAACUGACAUUUGGCUUUCAAGAUCUGAGAACCUGUCCAGAAAUUACUAUUUUCAAAUACAUUGGAAGAUAUUUUGGAAUUGGGCGUGGGUGCCAAGAGUCCUGGAUAACUACUGCUGCUUCAUUACUGGGGGGAUGAUUCAUGACUCCGCUGGCGGCUUUCUGCCACCUAGUCGCCGUGAGAGGGCGGCUGCGGCUAAUUCCCCCGGAUUAAAAAAAAAAUUGUCGCAGUUGACUUAACUUUUCAUUGCUGUGAGAGAGCGGUGAAUCUUUUUCCGGCUUUCCCACAGCCAGCUGCAGUGGUACUGCAUCGGCCGUCUCCUGCUUACCAUCUCCGGCGCCCACAGUCGCCUUUCAUCUACCCCCUAUAUUUCUUCAACUGGCUUAUACUUCGGUGGACCUCCUCUCGCUGCGAGAUGCUCCCCUCUCGCGGUCAUGGCCUUCCUAUUUAUCGAAGGCCUACCUCAAUGAUGAGUUUUGGAAACCCGAGUGGUGGCAUGCUCCAAAGCGGGGCCUGAGGGGCUUUUUAAUUAGAGUUUUUAACCAAAUUUUAAGGGGACCUGGGAGGCGGGUGGGGAGGAAUGAGCCGGGGGUGGCUCUUAUGGUUCAGCAACCUGGCCCGUCCGAUGGUUGGGGGGGGAGUGGGAGGGAAAGAAGAAGCUAGGUGGAGAGAGGGUCUUUCAAUCCCUGUGAUGGUUGGGAGAGGCAGGCAAUGUGAGAGGAGGGGUUAUGGAGAUAGCCGCCGUUGUGUCCAAACGGUGGUGUGCUCCCCCCCAGGCUCUCCCUGCUCCCCCGCGGAUAUAGGAGUGCGGAGCCCUGGACUCCGGCUGGUGUACCUAAAUGCCAGGUCCGUGAUGAACAAGGCCCUCCUCGUGCGAGAUUUAAUUGAUGAGGACGCGGACCUGGCCUGCAUCACGGGGACCUGGUUAGGGCCGGAGGGAGAUGUCCCUCUAUCCGACUUACGUCCCUUAUGCUUUAUAGCGAAGGUUGUGGAGUCCGUGGUGGCACAGCAGCUCCCUCAGUUCCUGGAGGAAACUGAGUACCUGGACCCGUACCAAUUGGGUUUCAGGCACGGUUACAGCACGGAAACUGCAUUGGUCGCCCUAGUGAAUGAUCUCUGGCAGGCCCGGGAUGGGGGUUGCUCCUCCAUCCUAGUCCUUCUUGACCUCUCAGCGGCUUUUGAUACCAUCAAAAGCCGCUGGUAUCCUACUGCAGCGACGGGGGGGGUUGGGGGUAGGAGGCACCAUUUUACAGUGGUUCUCCUACCUCUCUGGCCGCUCACAGUUUGUAUGGACAGGGGACAGAGAUCCUCCCUGAGGAUGUGGGGUGCCUCGGGGGUCGGUUCUCCCCCCCUGCUCUUUAACAUCUAUAUGAAGCCGCUGGAUGAGAUCAUUUGUGGUUUUGGGGUGAAGUACCAUCAAUAUGCUGAUGAUACUCAGCUUUAUAUCUCCACCCUGGGGAUCCCCUUUCCGUGAUGUCCCAGGUGGGCCUGGAUGGGAAGAAACAGACUCGGACUCAACCCAUCCAAGACUGAGUGGCUGUGGAUCCCGGCAUCUCGUGAUCUAGUGGUCCCGUCACUUGUGAUAGGAGGGGAGGUACUCACUCCCUCAGAAAGGGUUCGCAAUCUGGGUGUCCUGGAUUCACGGCUAUCCUUAGAAGAUCAUUUGACGGCCGUGACCAGGGGGGCCUUCACACAAGUGCGCCAGUUGCGCCCUUUCCUAGACCAGGAUGCCCUCGCCACGGUCACUCACGCCCUUGUUACUUCUCAGUUGGACUACUGUAACGCCCUCUACAUGGGGCUGCCCUUGGGAUGCACCCGGAGGCUACAGCUAGCCCAGAAUGCGGCCACGCGAGUUGUUACGGGGGCUUCUUGUUACUCCCGUGUGACACCUGCGCGAGCUGCACUGGCUGCCGGUGGUCCUUCUGGUCCGUUUCAAGGUGCUGGUGCUCACCUAUAAAGCCCUACAUGGCUUAGUCCCGGGGUACUUGUAGGAUCAUCUCCUGCCAUCCUCGCAUCAUCCCGUGCGCUCCCACAGUGGGCCGCCUCAGGGUGCCGUCAGCCAGACAAUGUCAGCUGGCGGCCCCUAGGGGGAAAGCAUUCUCUGGGAGCGCCGACCCUCUGGAACGGUUUGCCCACCAGGCUUAGGACAGCCCCCAACCUCCACUCCUUCCGCCGCAAACUAAAGACGUGGCUCUUUUAUCAAAUGGGCUGAUCCGUUGGGGGAUUUUUACAUUGAAAUAAUUUUAAUAAAUUUUAAUUGGAUUUUAAUUUUUUAUGUAAUUUUUGAAUUGUUGAAUGUUUUCUUUGUAAGCCGCCCUGAGUCUUUUGGGAGAAGUGGCAUAUAAAUUACAUAAAUAAAUCUAAACUAGAUGUCAUUAGAUUAAAAAGAUAAACACUGCAAUAAAGAUUUUACUUCCUGAA